rnacentral:misc_RNA from 1 species
GAUGAAGAACGCAGCGAAAUGCGAUAAGUAAUGUGAAUUGCAGAAUUCAGUGAAUCAUCGAAUCUUUGAACGCGCAUUGCGCCCGCCAGCAUUCUGGCGGGCAUGCCUGUUCGAGCGUCAUUUCAACCCUCGAGCCCCCCCGGGGGCCUCGGUGUUGGGGGACGGCACACCAGCCGCCCCCGAAAUGCAGUGGCGACCCCGCCGCAGCCUCCCCUGCGUAGUAGCACACACCUCGCACCGGAGCGCGGAGGCGGUCACGCCGUAAAACGCCCAACUUUCUUAGAGUUGACCUCGGAUCAGGUAGGAAUACCCGCUGAACUUAAGCAUAUCAAUAAGCGGAGGA